rnacentral:rRNA from 1 species
UACGUAGGUCCCGAGCGUUGUCCGGAUUUAUUGGGCGUAAAGCGAGCGCAGGUGGUUUAUUAAGUCUGGUGUAAAAGGCAGUGGCUCAACCAUUGUAUGCAUUGGAAACUGGUAGACUUGAGUGCAGGAGAGGAGAGUGGAAUUUCAUGUGUAGCGGUGAAAUGCGUAGAUAUAUGGAGGAACACCGGUGGCGAAAGCGGCUCUCUGGCCUGUAACUGACACUGAGGCUCGAAAGCGUGGGGAGCAAACAGG